rnacentral:rRNA from 1 species
GACGAACGCUGGCGGCGUGCUUAACACAUGCAAGUCGAACGGAAAGGCCCUGCUUUUGUUGGGUUCUCGAGUGGCGCACGGGUGAGUAACACGUGAGUAACCUGCCCUUGACUUUGGGAUAACUUCAGGAAACUGGGGCUCAUACCGGAUAGGAGCUCCUGCUGCAUGGUGGUCGUUGGAGAGUUUCGGCGGUUGGGGCUGGACUGGCGGCUUAUCGGCUUGUUUGUGGGGUAGUGGCUUACCAAGGCUUUGACGGGUAGCCGGCAUGAGAGGGGGACCGGGCACAUGGGGACUGAGGGAGGGACCAGAAGCCUACGGGAGGCAGUAGGGGGGAGCAUGACAGAAUGGGCGGAAGCGUGAGGCAGAGGUGCCGGGUUCGGGAUACUGGGUUUCGGGGUGUAAACCGCUUUGGCCUGUGACGAAGAGGGAGUGACGGUAAUGGGUAAGGAAGCACCGGCUAACUACGUG